UACGUAGGGGGCAAGCGUUGUCCGGAAUCAUUGGGCGUAAAGCGCGUGUAGGCGGCCCGAUAAGUCCGCUGUGAAAGUCCAGGGCUCAACCCUGGGAUGCCGGUGGAUACUGUCGGGCUCGAGUCCGGAAGAGGAGUGUGGAAUUCCUGGUGUAGCGGUGAAAUGCGUAGAUAUCAGGAGGAACACCUGUGGUGUAGACAGCUUACUGGACCAUUUCUGACGCUGAGACACGAAAGCGUGGGUAGCAAACAGG
rnacentral:rRNA from 1 species